rnacentral:lncRNA from 1 species
CAGACAGUACAGGCGAGGGAUCUGAUCAGGUAGUCAUGUUUACAUUUUAAUGCAUUUACAAUGAUAACAUAUAUUAUCCUCUAACAGUUUGUUAACAAUGUUUCUAUGUGCAGGGUGGCAUACCUAAUGUUAAUUGGGACGAUGAGAACACCCAACGUGGCGUCAACGCAGGUGUCCCGGGAGCAUCACAUGAUCAUGGCGACACGGUUACAUCAUUAGUUACAGAGUUCUUCGGAGGGGACGUUAUUGGCCCAUCUUUUAUCCCCGCGGAGUCACAACCAUACGCCUACAAUUACACUUCAGGUUCGCAACAAGGAUUCCCGACUCCACCACCUACGCAGGAGUCGCAGACACAUGAAGCCGAAUUGGAGUACGGCCACGGUCUUCGUGUAACUCGGCCACCUAAUCGCUUGGAGCUUUCCGAUCGUAAGGAAAGGCUAGGUGGUCGUCGUAAACUACGGUGAUUCAUCUAUCCACGUGCGUGACCCAUUGUAUCUACAUAUGUCAGUAUCAGACUUUUCGAUUUGAACAUCUAUGUAUGCUGAAAUAAAAAUGCACCAGUCUUCGGCUUA